GGGGCUGCGGGCGUCCCAGUGCUCAAUGAGGUAGUCGAGAAGAACGUCAACCGGACCUUGAGCAGUGAGCAGGACUGGCACCUCGUAGUAGAUGCCACUCUCGUCAGUGAAGACCCGUCCGGCUACGACAGUGGACACAAACAUUGCCCUUCACCCCAGCUUGAAAUUGGUAGCCCCGGACCUUACUCAACGCACCCGUCCGCACAUCGAGCCGGUCUGCAUACCCUAUGGAAUGUGGAUUAUUAGGGGGUAAAUAACAAUGUCACGGACACCGAACACCGAGAAAUCUCGGCGCCGUGAUGUUGAAAUGCCACACCACCCACCUGAAUUCAACAAAGUGUGGAUGUAAUUUAGGGGGGAGGAACUAACGAACGUUACGCACUGGCAGCCUAAGGGCCGCCGUCCUCGCACUGGCUCGCUGACGGGCUAGGGUCGCAAGACUAGCGAGGUCAUUUACGUCAGAUAAGCUUUAGGUGAGUCACGGGCCUAGAGACGAAAACCUAGUGAAUCGCCGUCGUAGAGCGUGUUCGUCCGCGAUGCGGCGGUUAAAUCAAAUGACAGAACUAAGUAUGUAGAACUCUCUGUGGAGGGCUUGCGGACGCGGGUUCGAUUCCCGCCGGCUCCACCA
rnacentral:tmRNA from 2 species